CGUGCCUCCCCUCCACGAUCAGGAUAGGAUGGUUUGCAUCGCACUCCUUUGGGCGUUCCUCCUGUUCCAUAUGUAGCACUGUCGGCGUGCGUCCCCUCCAUGAUCGAAAUAUUGCAGGCGUGGGCUCGAGCCUCGUGCUCUGUCCCAGCCACUCAGGCAAUUGGCAAAGCCUCCUCUCCCGCCCCGUCCGCGGCACCUCAAUUGGCAAGACCUGGAGCCCGGCGGCCGCGGACAGGCAAAAUCUUGGCGUAGGUCGUACGGAGGAUCGGAGCUUGCUUGGCGUCGUCAUGGAGGAUCCAUCCAACUCGAUCUGGGCGGGAACUGCCAGUGCCAGACAUUGGAGGAACCAUCCAACCACCAUGCCCGAUGGAUCCGCAGCAGAAAGUCCGCAUCCCCGAAGAGAUCUCGUGAAUCCGGGGUAUGGUUUUCAUGGAAGACGAUUCGAGUAAGAGCAAACAUCACUGCUCAUCCCGCUAUGUCAACCAUGGUGAACGAGGUCAGGAGCAACCCGACCCGAGAUCGAGAGAUCUUGUGUGCGGGCUACCGAUGCCCGUGGUCAGAGCAGGUUCGAGCCAUGUGAGCUCACUGUCCGUGCCAUCGUUUAGUUGCUGGAAGUUGCUGAUGUUUGUGUUUGAACUAAGGUUCGAAACAUGUGAGGUCCUGUUUGAACUAAAUCUCUUCAUGCUUGCGGAUGUUCGUGUAACUUUGGUGCUCUGCAAGUUGCUGGAAGGAUGCAGAACCGACUUUACAUUUUAUGACUGCCCUUCAUAUAAUUUCCGUUGCAUGAACCA